GAGGGUCACAGAGGAUGCAAAGAGAAGGUGGAGACUCCUGUGCAUUGUUGUACUUGUGUAUGAGAAGCAGCACAGGACAGCCAACCAAGGCAGAGCCAAUUAUGAAAUCAGCUUAGUUUGACUAGCCUUUGGUGGCACGAUGCUGCGUCAGGGUGGAGAAACCAUGACCUCUGAGCUGCACCCUGGCCUCCUCUAGAGAAGAAAGGCUUUGCAACGUGCUAGCAGAGCCAUGAAGAGGCCCACCCAUGGCCAACCCCACCACCUGGGAUGGCCCGAGAUCCCAAGGCACUCAGAGACAAAUGAAGCUGCAAUGUUGCUAGUCUCUUUUAGGAAGCAGAAAAGAGGGAAUGGGAGCAGGAAAAUGUUUAUUGUAUUUUCCUCCACUUUUUUUUUCUGGUCUUGUGUCAAGCAUAUCUGGCCAAAGAGAGGGGAAAUGUGGUUUCCACAAGACCUAACUUUGAAUGGAUACAAGCAGUUUCUAAGGAGAUCUGCUCUAUAAUUGUAGAGGAAAUUACAAGCUGAAUCAUCUGUGGUUUGGAGAGAGAAAUCAAUGAUAUUUUGUAAGCUGAACCAAACUGUGAUGUCUCUUACCUAUAAGCAAACUGGAAAGAAAUCAAUUCCAAGAACUUUCAACAAAAAUCCAUCUUAAUUCAGGUCUGACAGAACAGUUUUGUUCUCCUUCCCUGAAGUAACAGUGUGCACCAGCCCGAAAUCCCCAAUACCAUUGCAGAGACAAGCUUUUCACAGCAGAGACAGACUAAUGCACUACACUCCAGGCCUGACAACCCACUUGACACCAAGUCUUGGGAAUGCACAAAGGACUGCCCACCUUUCAGGGUUGGCCUGCCAAAAGUGCUGUUGUCUCUCCGGAAGGCAGAUCCAAAGCAGAAUCCACCAAUUGUGAUGCAUUGCACCACACAUUGAGAUGGAUUUCUGAAGCAGAACUGCAUCCACUGGACCCUGUAAUGACAGCAGCAAACUAAUUCUGCUUAUAACCUAAAUGGCAUCUGACUCUUAAAUGAGUGCUCUUCAUAUGUUGAUGUUUUGCACAAUUUAACUUUUUUCUAUAAGACAGGGAAAAAAGUGAGAUCCUGAAUAUGUACUAGAAUUGCCCUUCAUUUUAUACUUUUACUUUACUGUAUAUCCCUGUGAAAUGCUGAAGCCACUUUAAUCAUAAGAGAUAAUAGGGAGACAAUAUUCUAUUUUCUGAAGCCAAACACAAAUGCUUCCAUAAAUAUUUGCCUUGAGGUACCACAGUGCUCUUGAGCCACGUCUACAAUAGGAUACGACAUUUAAAUCCCUCAGGAUGGUGAAGAGUCCUCCUCUGAGCCUAAACAUCAACAUGAUGCAUGCUCUUGCUUCAAGAAAUGGAUGAAAGUGUACCAAAUACAAAAACAGAGUCCUGAGGACUCAGUUUGUUUGGAGAGAGUCAGAGGGAAGAACUGUCCCUUUCUAUUCUAUUCCCAAGCUACAUGGGGACAUAAGGAAGAAGCACAGCAGGGAGGAAUGGGACCAAUCUCCCUUGCAGCAAGUGACUACCAUUCAUCUAUGUUUACCAACCAAAACUGAUGCACCCUCAACCUGUCACUGAACCACUGAUGAAACCUGACUGGCUGCUGCAGGUCUUGGAAUAGAGUCCAGCUGCAAUUCAUUAGUGCAGAAAAAUUCUUUGUGUGGAAAAAUCAGGAGCUUAUACUUAAAAGAGCAGAGCUAUUAUGGCGUGACACUUUUCUGUUCCGUCUGCAUUAUUGUAGCAAUGUUCUUGUAGACUGUGUUUAAAAUGAUGCUAUAAAAAUAAAUUCUGAUUAGAUUUGAAUGCUUGAUGAAAUCAGCAUACAAUUUAUUUUUUCCACAGGGUGUUCAAGAAUAUUCAUAAGAGCUCUUUAAUUAUUAAAUAAUUACAAAUCACUCAUUAAAACAUUAUUCAUUUCACUGCAUAAUCAUGCCAAGUCAUAUAUUUCAAACCCUAGAAUUUUUCCUUUCUUAGUGCCAGACAGAUCCAAGCAAAGUUAAUUGAAUAUUUUUAAUAUUUAUGUAGUUAAAUGGCUAGUUCACUAAACUGCAGUAGAGUCAUAAGAUGAGGCCCGAAUCACAGGGACUGCUCAUGAGCGUUUCAUGGGCUCAGCAGGCAGUGCACCACUUGGUGAAAUGCAUAGGAUGACACUUUGUUAAAUGAGAAAAAUAUCCUUGCUACCACAUUACGUUUGUCCAAGUUCUCCAUAAGACCCAUGAGGUAACAUUUUUACUUUGUUUUCUUUAGCACCCCUAUUGCUUUUGACUCAAUCAGUUACUUGUCAGCUCCUAUUUCAAGGUACUUUACCUCCCUAUCCAAGAAGAUAAACGGAAAAUUAGGUGAGGAAGGCUUGCUUGACUCCUCCAGAUGAUGACAAAACACCUCAUCAGUUAGGAGGGAUGAGGACACUAGCAACUACUUAGCAUUUCAGCCAUCCCAUCAUCCAGCCUGACCUCAGAGAAUGAUUACACCAAUAUCAAGAGGAGCUGCCUUUUUCACCUGAGCAUUUUCUGUGAGGCAGAUGUCACAUUUCCCCUUUUAUGAGUAAACUGAGGGUAUGAGCAAGCCAAGAGUAAGAGUGGUUCAAGGGGGGCAUGAGGAUCAGGCUCACCUAGCGUGGGCAGCACACCUUUUCACAUCCCAAAAUCCCCUGGGGUGUGGUCCUGCCAGGGAGACCUGCCAAGGAGCAGAGGGCACCACAGAAAUGGUCACUCCAGAGACUCCUUGUUCUGAGCACUGGGAUAGCUGUGUUCACUCAGGAUCAUGGACUUUCCCUGUAAUUAUCUCAAGGACCACCAAUCAUAACAAGAUAAAAUUAUGUUUUCUACAAAACAUUUUCUUUUCCUGUCUGGCUGUUAUUCCAGUAUUUUAAUAAGGUCCACAGGGGUUUGUUCAGGGUCACAAGGGGGGAUGGUGGUAGACCUGGGGACAAAGCUGAGUAAAAUCUCAUUCUCAUUCUUUCUAUCCACCAAGGAAUGCAGCUUCCCAAAUCAAAGUGACAGGAUGAGUUCAAAGGCAAAGCAGCAAACUUACCAGUUAAUCCAAGCAUUAUUUCUACAAAUUAUACUAUAUUAUACUGACAGAGAUGAGGCCCACUCCUAGACCUUAUUUUUGGCAGAAUUGCUUUCUCAGGAGAGUAAAAAGCAUUCUGUACCCUUGAGGUAGAGUUAUGAAGAGCCUUAUUAGUAAUUGCAUAUGGUUUCUUUUUUUCCCAUCAGGCAACUGAAGUUUCAAUGUCUGCAGAAGUAGCCAUGGAGAGCCAACAAAAUAUCUAUCUGUUUACAAAGGCACAACGCAGUGUGGCUACCAGCUUCCUACAGUAAAAGAGUAAAGGAUACAAUCAUGCUGUUCCACAGAAAGACGGGUCAGAAGGGUGGGUGACAUUGCAAAUAUGCAGGUGUAGCAAAACAGAGGUCUGCACCACCUAGAAAUCAUAGAUAUAUUAGCCAAAAUAUAAUUAAUAUGCCUGCCUUCAUUUUAAAUAGGUGCAAGGAUAGUGUAACUAACAACAGAAUAUAAGUAUUUUGCCACACUCAAGGCACAGCAAGAUGAUAUCUAUAAGCAUUUUGCAUAAGUAUGCGAGCAACAUGACUACCAAAGAUGGGUGAAGUUGCAAGUAUGUGGAAUUGAGCUAACAAAAAUUGCCAGAAAGAGAGUAAGAUAAGCACAUAGAACUGCAAAUAGUUAAGACAACCUGAAUACUACAUGACAAGGAUGACUUGCAAAGCAAAAAACACAGUAAGUGAUACUGUAAGGAGAUGAGUUCCUCCUUACUGAAGGCAGGAAACAGCAUAAAACCACCAGGCAUAAGCAAAUAAAAAAAUAAACAGAGACAAGCAACAUGACAAGCCCAGUUCUGGCUUCUCUCAUAAAUGAGCUUUUGGUCCUGAUCACCAAACCUUGGCAAACAGGGACCACUGAAGACCACACCCAUCAGUGCCAGCUGUGAGGCAGCAACCCCCACAGCACAGAGUGCCCACAGCUGGCUCACAGUUGCGCUACUAAACACACUGGUGAGGUUGAAACAAUGGGUUUGAUGUUGAAAUGAUCAGCUGUGAGCACAAAGGCUGUCCUUAAGGAAUGGAUUUAGUAAAGGUAAAAGUUUAAAACUUCCCUGAUCUGUCAGCCAUCUAAACAUCUCCACAAUCCAACCUAAUUACCACACCCUAUGUGCUCGUUCAGUUGGCAUAUCUGCAACGCAAGUUUUCUGCAAUAGAAGGAAUUUCUUUGCAAGAUCUCCUAACUGAUCCUGAGGAAUGUACACAUCCCAAGAAAACCCAGGUGCUAUAAUCGUUAUUUUUCAAAAUAAAAAGACUUUCCACAGACAGGGGAGAAGAACGAACAUAUUGGGGGGUUCAUAAUGUGCAUAUCUACAGUAUCGAUAUGAGCCAUACUACAGGAUCUGUAGCCUAAUCUGCAUUCAGUGGAUCACUGUUAAGCUGUUUAAACUGAAGCAAUUGCUGCAGUUAAGCUCCUAAUGAAUAUUUGUUCACACCAGAGAAGCCUUAUCACAGUCAGCAGUAACUCACAAUUUAGCAUAUCUUGGGCAAGGUCAGCAGAAACAGCAAGACUUGGGCAAUGAACCUGAGUCUUGCCCUAGAAUGAAAAUAGUCUCUUUUUAUCAUUCACUGACCCUAAAGGCCUUUCCGCAAGUGCUCAGAACUGUACCUUGUUUACAAAUGGGCCGCAAUGAGGUGCAGGAUGGGGUGUGAUUAGCUUAUGGCUAUUUGCACACUGCAGGACAGUAUCAGUGUCUGGAAAGAGAAACCACAGCUCAGCUUCCAGCCCUGCAGACUUUCAGCCAGUCUGCCUCCUUCUAGAGCACGACAGAACCACCUGUACAGUACCUCUGAGUGUCAAAAACAGAGAAAAAAACCUUGAGGUGGAAUUUUUCACGGCAGCACCUUUCACCAGCCAAAUACUUUUGGAAAUGUGACCCGCAGACAGCCAAGAAGACU